CCUCGGGAGGCUGCAGUGGGGAAUAUUGGACAAUGGGCGAAAGCCUGAUCCAGCCAUGCCGCGUGUGUGAAGAAGGCCUUCGGGUUGUAAAGCACUUUCAGUGGGGAAGAAAGCCUUGGGGCUAAUACCCUCGAGGAAGGACAUCACCCACAGAAGAAGCACCGGCUAACUCCGUGCCAGCAGCCGCGGUAAUACGGAGGGUGCGAGCGUUAAUCGGAAUUACUGGGCGUAAAGCGCGCGUAGGCGGUCUGAUAAGCCGGUUGUGAAAGCCCCGGGCUCAACCUGGGAACGGCAUCCGGAACUGUCAGGCUAGAGGGCAGGAGAGGAAGGUAGAAUUCCCGGUGUAGCGGUGAAAUGCGUAGAGAUCGGGAGGAAUACCAGUGGCGAAGGCGGCCUUCUGGACUGACACUGACGCUGAGGUGCGAAAGCGUGGGUAGCAAACAGGAUUAGAUACCCCUGUAGUC
rnacentral:rRNA from 1 species